AAAGAAUGACUGGAUGUUCCAUUCUGUGCUUGCUGAGAAUGAUUAAUUUUAUUCUUGUUGUUUAGGAGAAAUCCUGGCUUCUUUGAGCUUGGAAGCUGUUAUUCUGUUACCCACCUGCAGUCUUCCUGUGCUGAAGGAGAAGACCUUCAUUGAGGCAGCUCUUAAAAUGAUAAUGAAAAGAAACCGCUUCCAAGCAAGUGUGGCCAGAUCCAGCAGGGUGUUUUUGCUCCUCUCUAUCUCAAGAGACACCUCCUAUCUUCUGACAGGAGCGAGCCACAAAUCUUCCGAAGCUGCAGUUUUCCAUCUGGAACCUUGAAUUGCUGCUGAGUUAAGAAAGCCCCUGGUGUGAGCUCCAGAGCUUUUGUCCAGAGACAGAAGAGGUUCUUGGGCAGAGUGGAGUGUGGGAAUUCAGAACUGAAUGGAUGUGUUGAUACAGGAGGUGUUCUGGGCAUGAUGCCUGUUCGAUGGCAUGAGGAAAUGGCACCGACUCAGGUCUGAGCAUUCACUCCAAGCUGCAGCACAGCCUCAGUUCUGACAAAGAUACGGAUUGGCAGCAGUGACAGUUUGGAAUCCAAGCAGAAGGCACAGCUGCAUGCAGCAGACUUGGGACAUUUCACUUUCCAUUUCUUGCUGGCUGCAUCCCUACAGGGUUUGAUAAGCUGCGUGCUGCUGCUGAGCCUUCCAAGGAGCUCACCAACAAGAGCGUCGAUUACAGUGCAUGCAAAGAAACCACCUGCGAUCUGAGGCCAGCAGCACAUGUGAAAGGUCUGUAAUGAUGGAAGCAACCUCUGGGCAAAGUACAAAAGGAGAUAAUGAAGCAUAUCGGUCACAAGAUGGGGCAGGCGUGCACUUUUAAGGGGUUUCUUCAGGUCGAUUGUGGAAGCAGCUUGCUCUCAGCACAACUACAACCAUGGACAGCUUGUGGGCAACUCCUUUCGUAGCCAGCAUGGAAACAGAACCUGAUGAAUAAUGGGAAUCAGUGUGAUACGUCUGUGGGCUUUGCACCCAGCAGGAAAUGCUACUGCUGAGUCAUCACUCACCCCUUAGCAGCAUGCAUGUGGGCAGCCCAGCCUGUACUUUCUGCUGAAAUGGAGCGAGAGGGAGCUGGAGCUGUCUGUGUUUUAGAAUCACAGAAUCAUUAAGGUUGGAAAAGACCUCUGAGAUCCCCAACCUCAGCUCACCCCACCACGCACAGUGCCUACAUCCCUCAGUGCCACAUCCCCACGGUUCUGGAGUACCCCCAGGGACAGUGACCCCACUGCUCCCUGAGCUGUGCCAGUGUCUGAC
rnacentral:lncRNA from 1 species